GAAAUUAGCCUCGAUCCCAGGCCGAGUUUUCGCUUUUAUAACGGUUAGGCGAACAACUGGGCCUGGUACUAGUUGUCUGCGCAUGCGUCAAUCGUUCGUCAGAUUCUGACGAAUGGAUAUUCUCGUUCACUUUCGUGACAUUUAUAUUCGUGUACUAUCGUGUACUAGAAGUCAGUUCCCGUUUUAUCAUUAUUGGAAUCGAUUGGAAUGGCUGUUAGCUGAAGCUUCUCUCUUCUCUGAAGCUUAUUCUGAAGACUGAACAACAAGGGAAGAGGUAUAAAGCUUUGUCAAGCUUGUUAAGGUCAGAUAUUUUUGUGUGGGCCCUAUGGCCGGCUAUGCUAUCAAGUCUUGUUCAUGUUUGGCAAGAAUGUAGGUAGACUAUAGUUUCAUCAUUAAUAUGGUGGAUCAAGUGAAGAGUGUGAGCUAGAGAACUUGGUGCUGCCAUCAUCAGCUCGUCGACAAUGACACUAUAACCGAGAAAUUUAAUAUGUAUAGAUCUACACGUAUUUAAAAUGUCUACUUCUCUGUACAGGAGCAAUGGCUAAUAUCCAGCUAUCCCAACAGUGCUCCUCUUGGCUAUACUAACGGACGAGACUGGACAGUUUGAGACACAGGACUGGAGUAUGACCUGCUCAUUCGAGCGUUGCUGGGUAGCUCAGAGACAUCAAGAGAAUCUACGUUUUCUCAAGCAAUGAGUUACGAGUUGGGGCCUAGAAUCAGAGAAGUCCAGCAGCCUGCUAAAUCUUUUUGAAACGUAAUUUGAAGGCAUUCAAUCAUCCUGAAGUUGCCCUGGGUCACUGUAAUUGUGCUGCAGCACAACUGGCAACUCCCCAGGCCUUUGUGAAGCAGCUCCCUAUGUGCAUCUUUUGUGUACUCACUCUGUGCAUUUUCUGUGUACAAAUUUCUAUUAUUGAUUUAUUAAAUA